UCUACUUUAAACGCGAGUUGGGGUUUCAAAAUCAAGUUUGGACUCAGAUUCAGAUCUAUCAAUAAAAACUAAGGUAUGCAAAAUUCUUGAAGUUUCAUUUUUCAUGUUCAAUCUGAGUGUUCAUUUGGGUUUCACUUUCAGACAUCAUCUAUUGAUUUAAGAAUGGUUGAAAUGGAAGUCGAGAAAUCUCUGAGUGUAAGCAUGUUGUUGUUACUAAUAGUGAAGAAGAGGAAGAAGAAGAAGAAGAAAAAGAGAAGAAGAGGGUUUAUUAUUAAUAACUCAACUUGGUAUGUGAGGAAUAGGAAAAAAAACACCUCAGAUCUGGAACCGGAUUCAAAUGGCUUAUCUGAUUUAGAGACAAUCCAGAGGAGUUAUGGUUGAGGAUUUAUAGAAAUACACUUUGAUUCAUUUGUGGAUGGCAUGAAGAAUCAUCUUAUCAGCUAAAACAUUUACGGUAUCUCAGUGUUUCGUAGUUGAUUAUAGUAAGAAAUAUCGAGAUUACGUGAUCCCCUUCGGUAUUUGCAAACACCUCAAUCGAUUCGGCAAAGCUGAAAUUGGGCAUUUCAAAAGUGAAGGUAUUUCGACAUCUCCUAUAAUAUAAGUAGAGUGUAUUAUGAUUUAUCAAUUUAGCUUCCUGUAUCCAGAUUUAUAUGAUGAAUUAGAAUGCCUUAACCUGUCGAAAGCGGAAAAAAAGUAUCACUACAUUAAGGCAUCUUAUACACCUAGUUAGUUAUAGAGAACAAGAGUUUUUGUAACACUACUAGCACCAAGGACUCGUAUUAUCUGCGCAAGGAACAACCCCAUUUAAGUUUUAGUAACUACAUACUUGAAAGCGUUGAACCUUCAAAAGAGCAAAAAAAGUGUAUGAUUAACUUGAGACAUCUUAUAGAAGACAGUCGUAUUGUUGUAGAAGAACGAUUGACCUGCAAGGUAGAAUAUAGACAACUAAGUUGCCUUUAAUGGGCAACUCAAGUGGUGCUUGAACUGCUCUAAACCCACAUUGAUGAUUUACUAAUUAUGUGAUCGGAAAAGUUGAGGCCAAAACUUAAAUUCGAAGCAGAAGCAAUUAUCAGCCAACAGAAUUCGCCCUGGCGAAUGAGAGCAUAGAAAAGCACUACUGCUGUAAGAAGGGCUUGAUUUUGCAGGGCAACUGGUGUCCUUUCGAUGUGAGAGAAGAAGAAUGUGCAAGAAAGAAGAAGAAGAAUUCUGGCAGCAUAGCACUUCAUCUCCUAUUUAAGGUAUAGAAAACUGUUGUAGCUUAAAUUUUCUCAAACUGUUUAUGGCAGAACACCUUAAAUAUAUAUAUAUAGUAGCUCAGGUUUUCUAUGAUUGGUAUCUAACCCAUGGUAAUGGAUUGCUGAAUUGUAAUCUUUCUGAUCAUUCAGACGCUUUUUCCGUAGGUUUAAAUUUUUAUGCUUACUAACUGAACAGAUUAAUAUUUUAUCUUCCUUUUCUUUUUAGAUUAUGUUCUUGUUGUUUGCUAUUAUGGAACUGAGUUUCGGUUACCUCUCUCAACUUAAACUUCAGUACUCUAUUCAAGUGAUUCCUUUUGUUCUAGGCUUUUAUCCCUAUAUUGAUGGUUAAUAGUUGAGGAUUUUAAAAUAGCUUUGUAUACUGUUACAUAUACAUUUUCAGCUUGGUAAAGAAAAUUUAUACUCUGGUAUAUAAUAAUUUUUGUACUACUAGACCACUAUAAAACUCCAAGCAGAUUCGUGCUGCGGUUUUGUACUAUUCGAUGCGCAAGUAAAAGCUCUCCUUGCAAAUCGCAGUGGUAACAAAGUGCAGCACAAUAAACUCUCUUCCAGGUUUUGUGAUUGCUGAGUGAUCGUAAAAUUAUGGUAUAUUGGCUUGUUGGUCCUUGUCAGUCAAUUUCCAUGCCUGCAGUAUCUGCAUUAUGUAAUUCCUGUUGCCAAUGAGCUGAAAGUUGAUAUGAAGACAUUUUUAGGUUAAUGUGUAAUCUCAAGUAAAUAAGUAUUUUGAUUACUUUUGUAGUACUCUUUUCAGAUAAUCUUCUUGUUACUUGAGAUUCCAUGUUAGUAAACAGUAACUACUGUUGAUACGGAAAAAUAAAAAAAAGAGUUAAAAACAAAUCACCGUUGAUAAGUAAAAAGUAAAAGAAAAUUGGCAUUUAGUUACUACCUAGAAACCGGUGAAAAGGGACCCUAUUUCUUUACGCGUCUUGGAGAUAAAAGAUUCCAGGUUGUUGAUAUCCGUGAACUUCUGUAUCUAUCAUUGAAACUUGAGAGAUAGAGACUAGAGAGACGGCAUGCAUUUCAAAUCAAAGUCAGGUUCAGAUCUAUAAACAACUGCUCCAAGGUAUGCAAUAACAGAGUUCUAGAAAUCUCAUUUUUCAUUUUCAAUCUGAGUGUAAGAAAGAUACUUCUAUGGAUUCAAGAAUGGUUGAAUUUGAAUAUCAGACUGUAAUAAGCAUGUUGUUGUUACUAAGCAAGGAAACAGUAGCAAAGAGGAAGAAGAAGAAGAAGAAGAAGAAAAGAGAAGAAGAGGGUUUAUUAAGUGGUUACUGGAGUGUCACCUCUCUGGAAAACAUUAUUGUAUGUCCAUUCUUUUGUCAUUUAUUGGAAUCUAUGGAAGGAAGAGUUGUAAUCUUCAGAAUUUUGUCACAAAUGGAGAUAUUUUGAUCAGAGCUGGUAUUUUUCUGCGACAUACUGAUUGCCUUUAGUUUGAUGAUUUUUUGGGGUUGUUAUGCUUUUAGUUGAUUAGGGGGCAUGUUGAUGACACUGCAAUCCCAAACAGCAAGAUUCAUACUUUAAAUAAUUCCAACUUAUGGGUCCAAGGAAAAGGCUUCCUACAAAAGGUGCAGUUGAGUUGUUAUCUGAUUUAUCCAUUUCUUUUCCUGCAUCCAGACUUUUGAAACAAAAGUGCCUUGACCUGUCAAAAGCAAAAAAAGAGUAUCACUACGUUGAGGCAUCUUAUACACCUAAUUAGUUAGAGAACAAGAGUUUUUGUAACACAGCAAGGUUUCAUAUGUACAGUUAGCACUUCAUCAACAUAUGUAAGAUCAUGAGACCUGUUAUAACUAGGGCUGCACAACGGGUAGGGUGGGUAGGAUAUGGCCUAUAUCCGCCACCCUACCCGUUUACCGGCGGUUAAGAAAAUCUUUACCCGCCACCCUACCCGUCAAAUAAU